rnacentral:sRNA from 12 species
GAUUUUAAACAAUCUACUAGAUAACCAAGUGCAGAGAGGGUGAUACCUCGCUUGGAUUGUGUACAUAAUUCCCGUUGCGCUUGUUGUGAGAUAUUGCAGGAAGAUAAGUAACUCUCUUUUGAGCAAUCGGAAGGGGUCAUGACGUGAAAGAAGAUUGAGGGUGUACAUAGUAUGGAGAUUGUGCGUAGUUAGACCAUUAUCAUACGGUGGCGGUGAGAAUAGACGCUCUCAGUGAGAGAAUAAUCUGGCAAGGCCUUAUGUAGCAGUAAGAACCAACCCAGAAAUGCUAAAAUAAACCGUUUUGCACUUGAGGUCGAGCAAUCGGCCAAUAACACUAAAGAUAAGUACAAGUAGCCCAAAUGUGCAGAUGAACGAUACUGAUAUUGUUAUGCUAAAACAAAUAUUCUGAAUGUCGGGUGAAAGUUGGACGUAACCAGUCGUGCCUAGCCAUUAAACCGCUACGGAAGUUAUAGGGUCGCUCCUUAUGGCUCAGACCGUGGUAGGCUAUCGGUCAAUAAAUUGCGUACAAUCGAAGUAGAGCGAAGGCUCAUUUGAUAGAUUGUUUAAAG